rnacentral:rRNA from 1 species
UACGUAGGGUGCGAGCGUUAAUCGGAAUUACUGGGCGUAAAGCGUGCGCAGGCGGUUUUGUAAGCCAGAUGUGAAAGCCCCGGGCUUAACCUGGGAAUGGCAUUUGGGACUGCAAGGCUGGAGUGUGGCAGAGGAGACUGGAAUUCCUGGUGUAGCAGUGAAAUGCGUAGAUAUCAGGAGGAAUACCGAUGGCGAAGGCAGGUCUCUGGGCUGACACUGACGCUCAUGCACGAAAGCGUGGGGAGCGAA